ACAAAUCGUAUUAAAACAAGGGGAUGGUACAAGAAACUCUCAAACACGUCAAACAUCGCUGAUCUUCCGACGUGCAUGCGCUAGAGCUCGAGGAAUUGCCACGGCCGGGCUCGUUCUGGAGGCAGACGGAAAAGAGAAAAGCAGAGACUCCAUCAGCACUGAAAACAGAAAUUCGAUACCAGUUGCUUACCUGAGCUGCGUCUCGCAAAGCCCCGGAGGCGAGCAAUCACCGGCACCUUAUUCUUUUCCGCGAACUCUCGACGCCAGCGGAAGCGCCG
rnacentral:lncRNA from 1 species